AGUCACGAGUUUGAUCCUGGCUCAGAUUGAACGCUGGCGGAAUGCUUACACAUGCAAGUCGAACGGUAGACGGGGGGCAACCCUUGAGAGUGGCGAACGGGUGAGUAAUAUAUCGGAACGUGCCCAGUCGUGGGGGAUAACGUAGCGAAAGUUACGCUAAUACCGCAUACGAUCUACGGAUGAAAGCGGGGGACUCGCAAGAGCCUCGCGCGAUUGGAGCGGCCGAUAUCAGAUUAGGUAGUUGGUGGGGUAAAGGCUCACCAAGCCAACGAUCUGUAGCUGGUCUGAGAGGACGACCAGCCACACUGGAACUGAGACACGGUCCAGACUCCUACGGGAGGCAGCAGUGGGGAAUUUUGGACAAUGGACGCAAGUCUGAUCCAGCCAUUCCGCGUGCAGGAUGAAGGCCCUCGGGUUGUAAACUGCUUUUGUACGGAACGAAAAGGUUUCUAUUAAUACUAGGAGCUCAUGACGGUACCGUAAGAAUAAGCACCGGCUAACUACGUG
rnacentral:rRNA from 1 species